rnacentral:lncRNA from 1 species
AAUUGUUAAAAAAAAAUUGUUUACACUUCUAUGUGUUAGUUUGAAUUGUCCAUACAGUUUAUCAUCCUACUACACCUAAACAAGAAGUAAUACGCAUGAUCUCAAAUAUACAACAAUAUUAUAAUUACAAUCUAUACACUUUAUCAAGACUGGGCAUAACGAGUUAAUCAAUUGAAAUUCAAGUUAAUUUCAACUUAUUAACUUGACUUACUAUCUUGCUAUUUUUAAAGUCACAAACUCUAGGUGCAACAGUUUUUACUAUAAAAAUAACAAUUUUACAAAACUAAAUGAAUAACUCGUUAAAUUUAACUUAAUAUUAAACCGUUAACCCGUUUUUUCAAUUUACUUUAAUGAGUUAAUUUUAUUCUUUGACUUACCUGAUCUUACGGUAACGGAUAUCUGCGUACUAAUAUGAUUAUUUUUUACUGCGUUUAUCCGAGUGUUGUUUGCAGUUUGCCUUACAAACGAGAUAACCACACCGGCGCAGGUUUUUAUACAAUUAAUAUUAUUGUAUACAAGCACGGUAUAAUAGAAAUCACUAAAAUUAUUGUCGUGAUUGCUGUAAAAAAAUGAAAUUCCGCUUAUCAUCAUUUUUCUUCUAUACUCUAAUAAUUGGUACUUAAUUAUGAAAAUUAUAACCUACGGGUAUAAUGACUGGUACACUAUUCGCGUAGAUAUUGAAACAAAUCUUUUCAGUGCAAAUGUCACUUUCCAUUUUUUUUUUUUUUUUUUUUUCAAUAUUAUUUGUUGAUAUAUAUUGAAGAAAAACAAUAAGGUUUUCAAUUAGUUAGCGAGUCGUACCGGCACGGUUUUAUCGAUUGUACCGAUAAACAAACAAAAUACGAUGAUGAAAUGUCUAAAACAAUAUUUACUAUUGAAGUAAUAAAAUCCUAAUAUAAUAGUAUUAUAAAAGGGUAUAAUAAAGAGAAAAAUAUUCCAUUGACGAGCAUUUCUAAAGAUACACGCGUUUCAAAUAUAUUUUAAUUAUUUGAUUCGCGAAAUAACGUUUCCGUGAAACUUUUAUUUAUAAACGUGACCGUCUUUACAGUAAAAUAGCUGCACCUGUAUAAUUGCCUUUGUAUUCGCGGGUUAUAUUAGGCGGAACCGAGCAAAUUCACGCGUAUUGUACACUAAGUGAAGUUAAAUUUAUUCAAAAACUACUAACGAAUCAACACGUAGAAAGUAAACUUUUUAAAAAUAUUUAUGUUAUUGAUAAUAAAUUCGGCAGCAUCAUUAGAAGGACCGGAUUUAAGAAAUUGCCCCAAGUCCAGAGACCCCCACAGAAUGCAAAAUAUAAGGGGCCCUCACGAUAGGUACUAUCACUAUUUAUUGUAGUAAGAAUCUUCCCAAAUUUAAAUGCUAACCUAUAAAUGUUAAUUUAGUUUUUUUUUUUAUUAUUAUUAAAAUUUACGAGCGCCUCUACCUGAUAUGGACCCAGGAGUUUCCACAACCAGAAAUCCGGUCCCGAUCACCAAUCGUCGUUACAACUUUUCUACCAGCAAUUUGGCUCAGAUUUUCAAUUACAGUACUCUUUUUGAAAGGAAAUCUGACUGGGGUGGUACUUUAAGGAAGUCAUUUUUUGAUUUUUCCGGGAGUUUAAACUUCAAUAAACGCUCCACGCAUACUUUAUUGAGUAUACAAAAUGUAUAUAUAUAUAUAUAUAUUGUUAAGUAUGCCUAUUCGAGUAACCAGUGCAUCUGUAGUUUGUAAAUGAAGUAUUAUAGCGUUAAAAUGAAAAUAAAUUGGACGAAUACGAGAACUAACUUAAAAUGAUUAACAUAUAGUUUAAAAUUAUUUACUUAGUUACCUAAUGUAAAAAAAUUAGUUAAAUUAGUAAAAAAUCAAAGGCUGAAAAUUAAAAUUAAAAUUCCAACACGUUAAUACCCAGUCUUGGUUAUAGACGAGAGAAAAACCG